UGGCACUUCAGUUUCGGCUAAAAACCUUCCUGGUUCUCUUACUAAAGAAAAUGUAGUUUUUAACGGUUUUAAUAGAGGUGGGCGUCCGCCCAAUAAAGUGUCACUGAGCGAUCCUUUUCGAAAAGUUAAAAAACAAUAUGAGAAAGAAAAACUUAAAGCUUGUAUAGAAAAGGAGAAAAGACAUAAAAAUUUUUUAAAGAACAAGAAGGAAAAAGAACUGUAUAUGAAGAAAAGAAGAGAACUAAGCAAGAAAUUUAGACAGAAAAAUAAGAAGGGGCAGCCCAUUAUGAAACACAGGAUCGAGUUACUUCUUUCAAAGCUUUAAGGAUUGCUCGCUUUUUUGCUUUAUA